rnacentral:tRNA from 1 species
GGCAGCGUGGCCGAGCGGUCUAAGGCGCUGGUUUUAAGCACCAGUCUCUUCAGAGGCGUGGGUUCGAAUCCCACCGCUGCCA